GUUUAUCUGAGGCAGGGCCUGCAGGCAGCUCCAAAUUACCAGAGUUAGAAUCUGAAACUAAAGUUGUUGAUGAUUCUCAGGUUUGUGCACCAAUGCCAGAAACUGUGCCCGAAGCUGAAGUUGGUGGUGACGUUGAAGGUUUAUCAGAGGCAGGGCCUGCAGGCAUUUCCAAAUUACCAGAGUUAGAAUCAAUGCCAGAAACUGUGCCCGAAGCUAAAGUUGGUGAUGACAUUGAAGGUUUAUCUGAGGCAGGGCCUGCAGGCAGUUCCAAAUUACCAGAGUUAGAAUCUGAAACUAAAGUUGGUGAUGAUUCUCAGGUUUGUGCACCAAUGCCAGAAACUGUGCCCGAAGCUAAAGUUGGUGAUGACGUUGAAGGUUUAUCCGAGGCAGGGCCUGCAGGCAGUUCCAAAUUACCAGAGUCAGAAUCUGAAACUAAAGUUGGUGAUGAUUCUCGGGUUUGUGCAUCAAUGCCAGAAACUGUGCCCGAAGCUAAAGUUGGUGAUGACGUUGAAGGUUUAUCUGAGGCAGGCCCUGCAGGCAGCUCCAAAUCACCAGAGUUAGAAUCUGAAGCUAAAGUUGGUGAUGAUUCUCAGGUUUGUACGUCAAUGCCAGAAACUGUGCCUGAAAACCCGGAUCAACCCCAAGUUAACUUGGUCGUUGGGGAU
rnacentral:lncRNA from 1 species